AAGUCGUAACAAGGUUUCCGUAGGUGAACCUGCGGAAGGAUCAUUAACACUGGUGUGAAAGCACCUUAAACUACAAACCAACUCUGUGAUCUUGUUUUGCACGAAUGGGGGUUAUGCUGAUCUGAUAGUCGCAGUGGCUGGGGAUUGUGUACUUGCUUGACCCUGUUACUUAUGUAGCAGGGCUGGGUGGUGCGUGGUUCUAGACUGUUGGAUCUGGGCUUAGAGCCCGAGGCGUGGCGAACCGAUCGUGGGUAAAUAACAUUACCUCCACUUUAACCAUUUUUUUACUAUCUGAUGUGGGAUGCGGCCGAAAGGCGGUUCCACGUAAAACAAACGCACAACUCUCAGCAGUGGAUGUCUCGGCUCUA
rnacentral:misc_RNA from 1 species